UUUCAAGCCAAUCACAAUCAUUUCAAUCAACAAUCAUCAUCAUCACCAUCAUCAUCAUCAUCAUUUGUCAAAUAUAAUUCUACCACAUACACUCACAAACACAACAAAUGUUUUGAUGGGAAAAAAGGCAAGACAACAGAAAGUGAAAAAAAUGAACCGAAUUUCCAUUGAUAUCUUGCGAUACAUAUCUAAUGAUGGGCAGUUCCAGUUGAUACCUUUUCACUUUAACAACAACAACGACAACAAAUGGAUUCGAAGAUUGAAACAAUACAAAAAAAAAUCAAAUCACUCUACGAAACAGUAACAACAACUAAGAUAUGGUCACUUCCGAGUGAGGAAAAUAUUAAAAAAUUCAUCAUUACAUUUAUUAUUCAAAAUUGUAUUGAUUUGUAUUCUGAAUGUUGGACAUUGGGAAAUUUUCAAUUUUAAAAAAUUUUUCUUCAUUUUUUUUCACCAAGAUUUUUAUCUAAUACGUCACUUAUCUAUAAUGCAAAGAUUCGAAAAAAAAAUUUUUAAAAAUUUGUGGACAAAUGAAAAUGACGAUGACGAUGAUGAAGAUGGAGAAAUAUGUGCUAAAAUUAAAUCCAAUUCUUCAAAAAAUGAAUGCAGUAAACACAUUUUAAAUCCCGUUUUUUUUUUUUUGCUGACCUGAAACUGAAAUACACAACAACUUAUCUUUAUUAUUAUGGGCUACCACUUUCAUGGUCUGAAUUUUAAAUGAAAUGAAAAAUGAAUUGGUAACAUUUUCAAUUUCGAUUUCAUCAUCAUCAUCAUCAAC